ACUGUCGUGUUCGUCAGUAAGGGUGAUCUUGAUUGAGCUUUGCAGUGCCAGCCUGUUCGAAGUUUCGAGGAUAGUGUGUUCGACGUUUGGAGGACUGCCUGGUGCAUCGGAUAGGUUGCAUGUCCGUGCAACGUGUGCUCCAUAUGUGUGUGUUGGAAUGAGUGAAUCGGGUAUGAUUUCUUUUUCGGGAAACGAUGAUGUACUGGAUGCAAUUUAAAGGUACGUGCAAGCCAAUAAAUUUUCGUGUUUCAUGGUCGAUAUCCUUGGAGCAUUUUCUUCCUUUCAUUCUCUUUUUUGCGAAACCUGGAGGUCAUUUUUCUGUAGUUUCUGUAAGGGAACUCGGGAGGUACAAUGUAUCUAGCGUAUUAGUGGGUACAAGUAACCCUUCAAUACGUUCUGUACACUGUGGCUCCUGGCGUUCGCAGGAAUGUCGUACGAGUUGUUUCAGGGGGCACGGGGCACAUGCAGCUUUCGCAGGCACCGCAGAACACAGUCAGAGUCAAUAAACACAGUGCCCAUUCUCAAUUGAAAAUAGUCAAUAACCAGUCCAUAAAAAGGCGAAUAAGAGUCAGUGAAUACAGUACCUAAUCUCAAUCGAAAACAGUGAAUCACAAGUUAAUAUAAAGACACCCGCCAAUUAUUAAUAAGAAAACGAUAACAAUCAUCACCCACAGAUUAAAUGUAAAUUGACAUUUCACUGGCAUACGUUGACUUUAGUCAAUUGAAAGGAGACGUUUAUUUUCGUUAGAGUGGCAUAUUACAGGUACACUGCAUCCCGAGGCUACGCCAGGAUGCUAACCAGACAUGAUGACAUGAGACCAGUGGCUGGUAUUACAGGUGAGAGAGAGAGAGAGAUUAUGGUUUUAAUGGCACAAAGGCCAACAAAGGCCAUAGAGCGCCAAAACUACGAGUCAGAGCACAUCAGGAGCUCUUCCUCUGGAAUGACGCCUUUUACGAUGUUGAGUGUCUUGUGCGGAGUGACCGUGACAGAACUUUAGCAGUUGCAAAUGGAGACAGCUUUGACAGUGACUUGAUCGAUUCAUCUGCGUGUAUGACAAGGACUCUAGGGAACCAUGCUGGCUGUUUCUGGUAGAAAAACUCGGUUGCUGGAUUAUGUUCGGUGCAGCGCCUCUUCAGGCGCCGAUCAUGGGGGUUUUUAAGGGGUUUGUUUGCCAUAUGUGUUGUGUGUGUGAUUCAGUGCGGAGGCCGUGCCGCCCACCACCGAGCCCAACCAGGGGAUCGUGCUCCGCACGGUGGCACGUGCCGUCACACUAUACCCAGGCGCAGGCGGGAAGCUCUGCACGAGGUUGGCCCUUGCCGCCGCAGCGGCUAAGCUGGAUAGCCCUAGCCGGGCCUUCCAGGACCACCCGACUAUGGGAAGCUGGGGCCAAAGCGGUGUGUUGCUUUGACGGAGGGGCCUUAAGGGUCCUAAACAUCCUCCGGGGCCACUCAACCGCCAGGGUCCCCUACAGGUGCAGAGUAGACUUAUUUAGUAGACUUAUUUUCACGUACAGUCAGGGAUUGGAAUAGCAUAGCGGACAACGCCGUGUCGGUUGAAACCGUUGAUGAAUGUUUCACAGGUUCAAGACCACCUAGCGUCAUUGUAAUCCGUUAUGUCAUUGUGUGUACCAUUAUUAUCUUGCUUGCUGAGCGAAUUCAGCACGACCUUCAUAUUGGUUGGUUAAAAAGGUGACCUUUCCUUGGGAAAUUUCCGAGUUCAGUUCGCAAACAUUUACACAAUUAAACUUACGAUACAUGACAUCUAUACCAUGUGGCAAAAACGUAAUACGAACAAAUGCCGUUGACUGCAUGACUGUAGGUGGCGUAGUUUUUUUUUUAAUUAUAAUUCAAUGACGCGUUUUCUGGGACACCCUGUAUAAUUACCGUAUUCUCGUCAUUUGCCAUUUGUAGCUAGCAUUUAUGUCACCGCUUAAGUUCCAAUAAUUUGCAUUGUUUCAUGUUUGUGUUUUUUUCUUCUUGUAUCGAUGUACCACCACUCCUACUUGGACCCACCGAAGGAGGCCAAUAGUAUCAAUAAAUAAUAAUAAUAAGAAUAAUAAUAGUAAUAAUAAUAAAGCUAAUAGGAGAUAUGCGAAAUGAAGCGCCUUCUCUUGCCCGUCAGCGAAAACGCACUCGCGCCAUUUUCAUCAGGGCAAUGCUUGGAAAACAUGGUUCCGCCAUUCAGUGUACGCGGUUUGCGUUGCCUGUGAGUAAGUUUGAUUGAAUAGUGACAGUUGAAGAGGGCUUCUGUUGUUUUGUCCUUCCAUGUGCAAGUGCCCCAUCUACCACUACGUUAGCAAAAGUUUGUUGUGUAGCAAGACAACAGCCGGCAGCCUUGUAUGAACGACACUGCAAGCUUUCUGUUCUACCUAUAGUAAAUAACCAUCUGAAUACCACAACUUUUUGCCGUGAAAAGGGCUAUGUAUAUCGAAACUCUGAAAAGCGAACACAACUUUAUUUAGUCGUGAUCAAGAUGCCACCGCAUUGCUGCGUCAUGCUGUCCUAGCAGAGAGGAAUAAAACAACAAAAUGGUGCGUAUUCAUAAAUCGCUGUAACUGAACACAAGGAAGCGCCUGAAAUAGUAUUCUGUAGUUGAAGCUACUAUCGGACCAGCCUAAAGCUUAACGAGUAAAGUUUAACAUUCUCGGUUAUUAAGAAUUAAUAUGCAGUCUCUCAUAUCUGGCACUUUAGAAUCGGACGUUUGCCGCUCGUUCAUGCACCACAGAUACAGAACCUGACAGACAGACCUAAUGUGAUAGCAGUGUUCCUGAUUUGACUCCCUUGUAAAAUCACUGAACUUAUGGAGAAUUAUGUGAGGUGAAUUGUCACGUGUGAUAGAUAGGAAUAUUGCUUUGCAAAUGUACCUAGUGUGCUCUCAUGACGUACAUCCUACUCCAAAUAAACAUAUGCACAAUAA